AUAUGUGUUUGUGUAGAUGUCUAAAUAUUUUAUUUUUUUAUGGCACUCUGUAGCUCUGAAAAUAAGGCUUAUUAUCCUGCUCUGGUCCAGAAGCCCAUACAGUCAUGCUAACAAGGGACUGUCUCUCAGCAGGGGUUAUUAAAUCUGGCACAACAUGGAGCUAACUCAGUUAUAUGACUUCUGAAUCAGAACUGCACUUGGAUCCCUUUAAAAAUACCACCCCAUCUUAUUCAGCUAGAACACAAGAAGUGAAGUUAGCAACCCGUUUGUGGGUGCCCGCUGCUCCUUCGGGUAAAGAUUAUCUUCACCGCAUUGUGCUGAAUGCAGCAUCCAUGAGAAACAAUAGAGGUAACUGCUCAGCACUCUUUUCCAGUUCUACACUGAAAACGCAGAGGGAGAAUGGAAAAGAGAUGCCCUGCGAAGUCUGGUUACUGCCAUUACUAUACCUGACAAAUGAAUAAAGAGGUAGUGAGGCUUCUAAAAUAAGGUGUUUAGAUUCUAGAUGUAGGAUCAUGUUUGAUAUUUUAAAACAAAACCCACCUAUUUCUGUUUGCGCCAUGCAAGGCUGCACACAUCCUGGAAAAAUCAAUUGAAGGGCUUCUGUGUUAUGAAACAUAUAGUCGCUUUUUUUUUUAGUUAUUGCACUUAGCUUAAGGCUAUGCUUCUUGCUGACUGGCUAACCUGAAUCUGUUAAAACUGCUUUACAACUCAGAAUUCAACAGCAUUAGCAGUUUUGUUUGCACAGAAUUGUUAUUGGAAAAGCUUGUUCUGAGUCUGACUUCAAAUAUGAUUAAAGCAACUAAGAAUUUAAGUCUUCCUAUUGAUUAUUUAGCCUGAAUACAGAUUAAUAAGGAUGUAAUCCUCCGUCUUUAUGUGAAAAAAAUCAUUUGUUUUUUUGGAGGGGCCAGAAUGUAAGUUGUUCUGAGGUCUCAGUGAAGUGUAAAGAGCACUUUUGCUCACUGGAGUACUUGGUUUGAUACUGAACAAAAUCAUUCACAAUUUUAUCAGAGGAGGUUUGAAGAGACCCAUCAAAAUCUCUUUACGCAGACUGGCCCUGCAGCUUAGGAGCAGCAGAAUGCACUGCCACAGGGGAGAUCUGUCUAGG
rnacentral:lncRNA from 1 species